GGCUGACCCUGACUGGGAUCCCCCACCGUGUCCGAGACCUUGGACGAGGGCACCAUGCUGAAGGUGUUCAUGAUGCGGUCGGGGUACUCCUCUGGUCUUGCUGAUG
rnacentral:miRNA from 1 species